rnacentral:rRNA from 1 species
UACGUAGGGUGCGAGCGUUAAUCGGAAUUACUGGGCGUAAAGCGUGCGCAGGCGGUUCGUUGUGUCUGAUGUGAAAGCCCCGGGCUCAACCUGGGAAUGGCAUUGGAAACUGGCGAGCUAGAGUGUGGCAGAGGGGGGGUGGAAUUCCGCGUGUAGCAGUGAAAUUCGUAGAUAUUCGCAAGAACACCAGUGGCGAAGGCGGACUCACUGGCCCGAGUACUGACGCUGAGGCACGAAAGCGUGGGGAGCAAACAGGG